GGGUGUGAUCAUACUAGCGUUAAUGCACGUGAUUCCUUUAGAACUUUGUAUUUAAGUGCACUUGGGCCAAAGUAGUAUUGGGAUGGGUGAUCACCUGAGAUGCUCUAGUGUCGCACCCU
rfam:Picea glauca, whole genome shotgun sequence.